GCCUGGGUGGCUCAAUCGGUUGAGCGUCUGACUUUGGCUCAGGUCAUUGAUCUCACAGUUUGUGGGUUCGAGCCCCACGUCAGGCU